ACGGGUUGAAUGUUAGCUCAAGUCCUCGUAGAAGAACACUGACCCGCAAGACAUUCACUCGUGGAUAUCUAUCUCUAGCGAUUUUCGUAUUUGUUCCUAUACCGUUGGGAGCGGUUAUAACUCGCGUCGUGAGAGCCGCACGGGGCGCUCUGAGGCCGAGCGGACACUGAGCUCACUCUCGGGGCCUUUCCUCACGGAGGAGAACGCAACAGCAGCAGCAGCACAAGGAGGGAAGUAAAACCACACGACGAGGCGACAUCUUCUUUUAUUUCCCACGGCAACUUAUUACGACUUCCCUUGGUUGGGUGUAUGCGAUGCAGAAUGAGAGAGGGAGAGAAAGCGAGAGAGAAACAUAAAGACGGAGAAGGAGAAAACCCAAUAACUCAACUUCUUCUUCAAUAUUCGGUAGGCUCGUUGUUCGUGGAAACUGCACUCGAGGAUCUUCUUUAAAUAUUUGUUAUGCGUUAGGCUCGAGGGAGUGUUCCGUUUGAUUCAACGUUCACUUCGAAUAUAUUCCUGGUAGUAUAUACUUGUCUUUCUACUUUUUCGAUGAACUUCAUUCAUUU